AGCGAACGCUGGCGGCAGGCCUAACACAUGCAAGUCGAACGAACCUUUCGGGGUUAGUGGCGGACGGGGGAGUAACACGGGGGAACGUGCCUUUAGGUCCGGCAUAUAUCAGGGGAUCAUGUGCUAAUACCGGCUGUGCUAUUCCGGGGAACGGUUUGUCGCCUAUAGGGGGGCUGGCGUCUGAUUAGCUAGUUGGUUGCGGUAAUGGGUCAACAAGGCUACUGUGAGUAGCUGGUCUGAGAGAAUGAUCAGCCACAUUGGGGCUGAGACACGGCCGUAACUCCUACGCGAUGGAGGAGAGGGUAAUCCUGCGCAAUGGGGGAUAUGAUGACGCAGCCAUGCCGCGUGAACGAUUAAGGUCUUAGGAUUGUAAAAUUCUUUCACAGGGUGCGAUAAUGACGGUACCCGGAGAAGAAGCCCCGGCUAACUUCGUG
rnacentral:rRNA from 1 species